ACAAAGUGGAAAAUAGAACAUGUUUUUAUUAUGAUGAAUUUAAACAUCAGUUAAACAUGAUUUUAAACGUGAGUUUAUGAGGAGCUAAGGUUGAGUGGUUACUGAUUGAUUUCAGUGUUUAAUUUUAAGGGUUUGGUAAUUUUGCAGUAAUGUAUCUAUUAAAAUAUCAUUUCUGUCUAUGUUUAUGUGAAUUUCGCUUUUCUAUGUAUGCUAAAGCUCAGUAUCACCUGCUAACUAAUCCUCCUUCUCCACUGGCUGAGUCUACUGUGGAAUGCUCUUAAUUCCACAGAGGACUUUGCAUAGGCAGGUACAGAUGCAUGGUCUCGGGGAGAGAUGAGACCCUGACCAAGGAGAGUUUAUCUUGUCCUGCUGCAUCACAAGCAGAUCUAGGCCUUGCUUGAAAACUGAGGCAGGAACCAGCAGAAUAACGUGGUGAACUUUCCCUGGUAUUUCAGUUUUACUUAAUGGAGGAACUGUUCCCUUGUUUCAUAUGCCACUCUGCCAGCUGAGUAUGGACUAAAACCUCCACAAACUCAGCAGCAAACAGGUAAAGCCUCCAUCUUAAGUGCAGAUUAUGCAGUGGAGGUGUAACCAUGCCCAGGAAGGCACAAGAGAGUUUGGUUUCCACAGAUCCAAAGAACUGGACCUGCAAUAACAGGAAACAAGAAAAGGCAGCCAUUCCAAUGGACAAAGGAGGGUGAAAAAAAGAUCAACUGAGCAUCAUGCAUUUGGUGUAUAUAUGUGUGUGUGCAAAUGAAACCUAGGCCAUUCUAAUUUGUAAGUCACAUUUAUGUUUACUGUUAAUUCUUUUCUUACAAGAAACAUUUGAGGAAAUGGCCAUUUUUAUCCUGGUUCUAUGGGCAAUAAAACUGAGGUGCAAAGAGUUUAAAAUGCCAGACAGUAAAUGGUUCAUCGAGGUUGAAGUCUUUUACUCCAAGAGU